CUGCUUACGCGGGGGUCCUGCGUCAUGCGCCGCUUCGAACCAUUCAUACGAAUGCUCAAGCUGCGUAUUUCGCGGGUGAGAAAUACCCUUUGAACCUGAUCUGGAUAAUGCCAGCGCAGGGAAGCGUCCGGACUUCGCAG
rfam:Paraburkholderia tropica strain P-31 P31_contig_28, whole genome shotgun sequence.